GCGGAUGAGGCUGAAUGUCUUCGAGCCGCGCUGACGGAAGCACAGGCUGCUUGCGAGCAUCAGCGGGACAGGAAGAUGCAGAAUGGCGUGAUGCUUGCCAUGGCCAUGGUGGCAUGCAGAGAUCAUGCCCAGACCAUGGGGAGGCUCCGAGGCGAACUCCAGGAGCUAACUGUAGCAGCUGAAGACUUGGAGAAUGCCACAGCCCCCGUGGAAGAAGGCGCAG
rnacentral:lncRNA from 1 species